CCAUUCUUUCAAAGGUUGUUGUCCUUGUUGAUGAUAUAUAGAGAUGAAGAAGCUGUUUUUCUUCAAAUCUUCCUCUAGCAGUGGUCACGCCAACGCCGUUGUUCCUUCACCAUCAGCAGACAAGCAAGUUUUCUGGGAAAACACAUUGGAAAGUGGGUUCAAUGAUCAACUUGGUGACAAGGCUGAAUACAGUUUUCUCAGUCCUAGACGUUUCUUUGGAAAAUCUCAAAAGCAAAUACCCAACAGCCCUAGCUUUAGUAACAGCCCGGCCGGCCUUCGCAGGAGUCAUUCUUUGUCAUCAGCAGCCUUUCUUGUUGAUGGUCUGGGACAAGAAGAUUUUCCUUCCUCAUAUGAUCAAAACAGGUCUCCUAAUAUUACUCCCUAUCAACAGUAUGAUCAAUCAUCUCGGAGAAGAACUAGUUCUUCAAGGUUGCGGCAUGAUUCAUCUGGAAGCUCUUCCUCUUGCUCUAGCAAUGUGUCAAGUAAAGUUGUGGACUGCUAUAUAGAUGGAGAACAGCGGCAGGAAAGCAGCAAGUCAAAGAACAGUUCUAAAAUAAAUAAUCUCGGAAAUGGUGGUGGGAGGUUUCCCCCACGAGUUCAAUUUACAGCUCCUCCGUCUCCUACUGAUAGUGUCAAAGAGAGAAACAAAUUUCAUUCAUUUAGGGAAGCUAAAGGCACACGUCUUCAGUUCUCGUCUAGAGAACGGGAGGAAAACGGGUUCGGGCAUGAGUCGCCUCGGAUGAUUGCAAAGAAUGUGAUUGAGAGGCUUUCGCAGACUCAUGUCCCGAGAUCAAGUUCUAAGGAAUUCGAUCUUCAUAUUCCGAUAACCACCAAAGAUGUAUAUGGUGGAUACAUGAAUAGAUGCCCGGAGUCCAAAUUGGAUAUAAUGGAUGAUCCUUAUGAAAACGAUAUUGGAUAUCAUGAGGAUAUCUCUGGCUUGGACAAGCAACAUUUUUUCCUUGGGGGAAGUUCUAACGGUUUGAACUCUUCCGAAACAGAAGAGGAUACAGAUGUGGAGUUACAAAGAAGAUCAAAAGAAGCCGAGGAGAGAGUUUUGAUUCUUUCUGAAGCUCUCGAGCAGGAAAGCUUUCUUCGUAACAUCGGUUUUAAUGUUUCGUCUCUAGUUGAGACCAUUAGACGACUUUCAGAGGACAAAAUAGACCUGGCACUUGAGGUUUCGGAACUUCUACAGUCUAGAAUUGCAGAGAGAGACCGUGCUAGGGAAGAAAUGAGAAUGACAAGGGAAGAACUGGAGUCACAGACAAAAACACUCGAGACGGAGAAACAUGAGAUACAGUUGGGACUGGAAAAGGAGUUAGAUAGAAGGUCGAGCGAUUGGUCGUCUAAGCUUGAGAAGUAUCGGUUAGAAGAGCAAAGGCUUCGCGAACGAGUUAGAGAGCUUGCGGAGCAGAAUGUUUCUCUUCAGAGAGAGGUCUCUUCUUUGAAUGAAAAGGAAACUGAAAACAGAAGCAUGAUGACUUAUUCCGCAGAACAACUUAAAGAGUUGACUAGAAGGGUCGAAACAUUGAAUGAUGAGAAUGAAGAUCUCAGGAAAAAUCUCUCCCAAUUGCAAGAGAAGCAUCAAGAAGCAAUAGAAGAUACUGAUUGCAUUAGAAGAAAUUUUGAAGAGAAAGAUAAGGAGCGCAAGGAAUUGCAGAAGUCCAUUUCCAGAUUAUUUCGAACCUGCAGUGAGCAAGAGAAAACAAUUGAAGGGUUGCGAGAAGGAUAUGGUCAGGAGAUGGAGAAGAAACAUUCCAUGGAAAAAAAUGAAACUCGGGUGAAAAAUUUACAAAUGGAGCAAAUGAGGUUGAUUGGAGUAGAAUUGGCAUUAAGAAGGGAAGUGGAGUCUUGUAGGCAUGAAGUUGAUUCUCUUCGACACGAGAAUAUCAAUUUACUGAACCGCUUAAAAGGUAAUCGAAAAGACGUUGGAGCCUUAACCUUCAAACUUGACAAGGAAAUGAGGAAUCGUGUAAGCUGUUUGCAGGACCAAGGACUGUCUAUGCUUAAUGAGAGCACCUACUUGUCUUCCAAGUUAAUCGAGUUCAUCAAAGGAAAAGCUAGUCAGCUUCAAGAAACUCAGCAGGGUCUAGAUGGUCAAUUCAUUGUUGAAUCCGAUAUGAAGGUGCAAUGCUUUAGACGUGAAAUUGAAAGUCUAACAAAGAGUUUGCAGACAAUAUCCACUUUGCUGCAGGAGAAAUCCACAGCAGUUGCCUCAGAGGUUCACUCGGAAUCUAUGAAACCAGACAAUCAAUCUUCUGAGGAGGUUCUAAGAACAGAGCUUAAAUCAGAAACAUUGCUGACAAAUUUGUUGAGAGAAAAGCUAUAUUCGAAAGAGCUUGAAGUUGAACGGUUGCAAGCUGAGGUGGGAGCAGCUGUAAGAGGCAAUGACAUCCUUAGAUGUGAAGUACAAAAUGAAAUGGACAACAUUUCCUGCCUCACCUACAGAUUGAAGGAUCUUGAACUGCAGAUGCUAAAGAAAGACGAUAACAUAAGCCAUCUUCAGAACGAUUUGCAAGAAUCGGUCAAGGAACUAACGAUCUUGAGGGGGAUUUUACCAAAGGUUUCCGAAGAACGAGAUUUGAUGUGGGAAGAGGUGAAGCAGUAUAGUGAGAAGAACAUGUUAUUAAACUCGGAGGUCGUCGUAUUGAAAACGAAGAUAGAAGCUUUGGAUGAGGAUGUCCUUUUAAAGGAAGGCCAAAUUACCAUCUUGAAAGAUUCCUUAAGCAACAACAAAACGUUUAACCUUCUCGGCAGCCCGGAUUUGAGUCGUGAAUUCCUCCUGGAAUGACCAUCGCAAAGGUCGGUUUCGGUUUCAUGGGGUGACUGAACAUAUUGUUCAUAGUUUUAUACAUGUUUUAUACUUUUGAAUUUGUGUUCUUUGAGGUUGUUUCUUUUUCUUUUUUUUUUAUUAAAAA